rnacentral:rRNA from 1 species
CCUACGGGUGGCAGCAGUAGGGAAUCUUCCACAAUGGGCGCAAGCCUGAUGGAGCAACACCGCGUGAGUGAAGAAGGGUUUCGGCUCGUAAAGCUCUGUUGGUGGAGAAGAACGUGCGAGAGAGUAACUGUUCACGCAGUGACGGUAUCCAACCAGGAAGUCACGGCUAACUACGUGCCAGCAGCCGCGGUAAUACGUAGGGUGCAAGCGUUAUUCGGAUUUAUUGGGCGUAAAGCGCACGCAGGCGGUUGCUUAGGUCUGAUGUGAAAUCCUCGGGCUUAACCGGAGAAGUGCAUCGGAAACCGGGCGACUUGAGUGCUGAAGAGGACAGUAGAACUCCAUGUGUAGCGGUGGAAUGCGUAGAUAUGUGGAAGAAUACCAGUGGCGAAGGCGGCUGCCUGGUCAGCAACUGACGCUGAGGCUCGAAAGCAUGGGUAGCGAACAGGAUUAGAUACCCUUGUAGUC